AUUUGAUUCUGAUUCUGAUCCAUCUCUAUAGCUAGGGAUAAUAAAAUGCCUUAGUCUCCCUUCCUGUUUCUUCAUGUACCCUUCACACAAGAAAGCCUUAGAAAACUUGUCUUCUAUUUCCCUGUUAACAUCAUGCACAAACACAUCAGUCUCUCCUCCCUGUUUCCUGUUCCUUGCCAUCAUUCCCGCAGUGUAAAUUGCUGUCAUUCUCCCAGGAGCCUCAUCGUAGUAGCCAGUCGGUGCAUCAACCAUGAUUAGAUCCCAACCGGUCUCAUAAAUUUCUGCAGGCAAACCCUUGAGUGCUAGUUGACACAUUGAGUACCUUGGAUCUCCAAUGGCUGUGCAUUCAGGUCCUUUUCCGACUUCUAUGAGAUUAUCGGCUUGAUUGACUUUACUGUCAUAUGUUACAUGGUACGAUUCCAGCAUCGGAAACCGUCUCUUGAUCUGUUUUAUCCAUGCUUCAUCUUCUUCAAGAAACACAGUCCGGCCUCCAUAGUUGAGAGAGCUCCACAUGAGGCUGUCAUGGCCUAGACCAAACACCAAGAAAUUGCAGGGUGACUUCUUGCCGAGUACUCUACUGCUUACCGCUAUCUCUUUGAGCGUUUGUUGUGGUGUGAUAACUGAGGUCGAGUAAUGGAUCAGGGCUUGUGCGAGGGAACGUGGUAGCUUAUUGCAGGCACCAGAGCAACGCGUUGAUCUUGUCUCUUGUGGAGUCUGGUGUUCCUGUGAAGAUGUCAGAGUUGAUCUCACGAUGAAGAUGAGAAUUAAGGUGGCAAGAAGAAAAACAAGGAGAACCUUCAGCUUGUGGUUUUGAUUUGCUUUAGGCCUCAUUGUCUGCUUCGAAAUUUAAGAACUUGAAUUCUACAGAAGUUAC